rnacentral:misc_RNA from 1 species
AAGUCGUAACAAGGUCUCCGUAGGUGAACCUGCGGAGGGGUCAUUACAAGUGACCCCGGUCUGAACCACCGGGAUGUUCCAUAAGCCCUUUGUUGUCCAGCAUCUCUGUUGCCUUCCGGGGCGGACCCUCGCCUUCUGGGCGGGGGCUCCGGGUGGGCACUUCAAACUCUUGCGUAACUUUGCAGUCUGAGUAAACUUAUUAUAAAUUAAA